rnacentral:rRNA from 1 species
UACGUAGGUGGCAAGCGUUGUCCGGAUUUCCUGGGCGUAAAGGGCGUGCAGGCGGUUUGUUAAGUGCAGGGUGAAAGCUCCCGGCUCAACUGGGAGAGGUCCUUGCAUACUGGCAAACUCGAGGGAGGCAGAGGAAAGUGGAAUUCCAGGUGUAGCGGUGAAAUGCGUAGAUAUCUGGAGGAACACCGGUGGCGAAGGCGGCAUCCUGGACCAAUACUGACGCUGAGGAGCGAAAGCCAGGGGAGCAAACGGG